ACGGGUGCGUAACACGUAUACAAUCUACCUUAAACAGGGGGAUAGCCUUUCGAAAGAGAGAUUAAUACCCCGUAAUAAAUUGAACGGCAUCGUUUGAUUUUGAAAGCUCCGGCGGUUUGAGAUGAGUAUGCGUCUGAUUAGCUAGUUGGUGAGGUAACGGCUCACCCAAGGCGACGAUCAGUAGGGGACCUGAGAGGACUAACCCCCACACUGGUACUGAGACACGGACCAGACUCCUACGGGAGGCAGCAGUAAGGAAUAUUGGUCAAUGGAGGCAACUCUGAACCAGCCAUGCCGCGUGCAGGAUGACGGCCCUAUGGGUUGUAAACUGCUUUUAUACAAGAGAAAACCCUGGUACGUGUACCAAGUUGAUAGUAUUGUAAGAAUAAGCAUCGGCUAACUUCGUG
rnacentral:rRNA from 1 species